AUUGAACGCUGGCGGCAGGCCUAACACAUGCAAGUCGAACGGCAGCACAGAAGAGCUUGCUCUUUGGGUGGCGAGUGGCGGACGGGUGAGUAAUGUCUGGGAAACUGCCCGAUGGAGGGGGAUAACUACUGGAAACGGUAGCUAAUACCGCAUAACGUCGCGAGACCAAAGUGGGGGACCUUCGGGCCUCCCACCAUCGGAUGUGCCCAGAUGGGAUUAGCUAGUAGGUGGGGUAAUGGCUCACCUAGGCGACGAUCCCUAGCUGGUCUGAGAGGAUGACCAGCCACACUGGAACUGAGACACGGUCCAGACUCCUACGGGAGGCAGCAGUGGGGAAUAUUGCACAAUGGGCGCAAGCCUGAUGCAGCCAUGCCGCGUGUAUGAAGAAGGCCUUCGGGUCGUAAAGUACUUUCAGCGGGGAGGAAGGCGGUGAGGUUAAUAACCUUGCCGAUUGACGUUACCCGCAGAAGAAGCACCGGCUAACUCCGUGCCAGCCGCCGCGGUAA
rnacentral:rRNA from 1 species